UGGGGAAUAUUGCACAAUGGGGGAAACCCUGAUGCAGCGACGCCGCGUGGGUGACGAAGUAUUUCGGUAUGUAAAGCCCUAUCAGCAGGGAAGAAACUGACAGUACCUGACUAAGAAGCCCCGGCUAACUACGUGCCAGCAGCCGCGGUAAUACGUAGGGGGCAAGCGUUAUCCGGAUUUACUGGGUGUAAAGGGAGCGUAGGUGGCAUGGCAAGCCAGAAGUGAAAAACCCGGGGCUUAACUCCGUGGAUUGCUUUUGGAACUGUCAGGCUGGAGUGCAGGAGGGGCAGGCGGAAUUCCUGGUGUAGCGGUGAAAAUGCGUAGAUAUUAGGAGGAACACCAGUGGCGAAGGCGGCUUACUGGACGGUAACUGACGUUGAGGCUCGAAAAGCGUGGGGAGCAAAACAGGAUUAGAUACC
rnacentral:rRNA from 1 species